GCGAACGCUGGCGGCAGGCCUAAUACAUGCAAGUCGAGCGGUCCCUUCGGGGGCAGCGGCGGACGGGUGAGUAACGCGUGGGAACGUGCCCUUUGGUACGGAACAACUGAGGGAAACUUCAGCUAAUACCGUAUGUGCCCUUCGGGGGAAAGAUUUAUCGCCAUUGGAGCGGCCCGCGUUAGAUUAGCUAGUUGGUAGGGUAAUGGCCUACCAAGGCGACGAUCUAUAGCUGGUCUGAGAGGAUGAUCAGCCACACUGGGACUGAGACACGGCCCAGACUCCUACGGGAGGCAGCAGUAGGGAAUCUUGCGCAAUGAGCGAAAGCCUGACGCAGCCAUGCCGCGUGAAUGAUGAGGGUCUUAGGAUUGUAAAAUUCUUUCACCGGGGACGAUAAUGACGGUACCCGGAGAAGAAGCCCCGGCUAACUUCGUGCCAGCCGCCGCAGUAA
rnacentral:rRNA from 1 species